rnacentral:misc_RNA from 1 species
AAGGAUCAUUAUCGAAGUCGAACGCUAGGAGGGAAAGGGGGAGCCCGACUGUCGCUGGCCUCGCGGCGCGUGCACGUCGCUCUUCGGACCCUCCGAAGCUUCAACCUUCUCCACACCCGUGUGCACCCGUUGUAGGUCCUUCGGGAUCCUAUGUCUACCUCUCUCGAACUCGCAUGUCUACAGAACGCGUGUGUCGUGUCGACCGGCGUCCGCGUCGGCGACCGCAAACCUUUGUACAACUUUCAGCAAUGGAUCUCUUGGCUCUCGCAUCGAUGAAGGACGCAGCGAAUCGCGAUAAGUAAUGUGAAUUGCAGAUUUUCCGUGAAUCAUCGAAUCUUUGAACGCACCUUGCGCUCCUCGGUAUUCCGAGGAGCAUGCCUGUUUGAGUGUCAUCGAAACCUCGAACCGACGCCUUCGAUCAGUUCGAAGCUCGGUC